rnacentral:sRNA from 1 species
UCACCGGGAGCGCCCACGGUUGCAGUUAA